AUUGAACGCUGGCGGCACGCUUUACACAUGCAAGUCGAACGGCAGCACGAAAGAUCUUGCUCUUUUGGUGGCGAGUGGCGAACGGGUGAGUAAUGCAUCGGAACGUACCGAGUAAUGGGGGAUAACUGUCCGAAAGGAUAGCUAAUACCGCAUACGCUUUGAGAAGGAAAGUGGGGGCUCUUCGGACCUCACGUUAUUCGAGCGGCCGAUGUCUGAUUAGCUAGUUGGUGGGGUAAAGGCCUACCAAGGCGACGAUCAGUAGCGGGUCUGAGAGGAUGAUCCGCCACACUGGGACUGAGACACGGCCCAGACUCCUACGGGAGGCAGCAGUGGGGAAUUUUGGACAAUGGGCGCAAGCCUGAUCCAGCCAUGCCGCGUGUCUGAAGAAGGCCGUCGGGUUGUAAAGGACGUUUGUUAGGGAAGAAAAGGAUAGUGUUAAUACCAUUAUCUGCUGACGGUACCUAAAGAAUAAGCACCGGCUAACUACGUGC
rnacentral:rRNA from 1 species